GAUGAACGCUGGCGGCGUGCCUAAUACAUGCAAGUCGAGCGAACGGACGAGAAGCUUGCUUCUCUGAUGUUAGCGGCGGACGGGUGAGUAACACGUGGAUCACCUACCUAUAAGACUGGGAUAACUUCGGGAAACCGGAGCUAAUACCGGAUAAUAUUUUGAACCGCAUGGUUCAAAAGUGAAAGACGGUCUUGCUGUCACUUAUCGAUGGAUCCGCGCUGCAUUAGCUAGUUGGUAAGGUAACGGCUUACCAAGGCAACGAUGCAUAACCGACCUGAGAGGGUGAUCGGCCAAACUGGAACUGAGACACGGCCCAGACUCCAACGGGAGGCAGCAGUAGGGAAUCUUGCGCAAUGGGGGAAAGCUGGACGGAGCAACGCCGGGUGAGUGAUGAAGGUCUUCGGAUGGUAAAACCCUGUUAUUAGGGAAGAACAGAUGUGUAAGUAACUGGGCACAUCUGGACGGUACCUAAGCAGAAAGCCACGGCUAACUACGU
rnacentral:rRNA from 1 species